CAGAGGGUGCAAGCGUUAAUCGGAAUUACUGGGCGUAAAGCGAGCGUAGGUGGCUUGAUAAGUCAGAUGUGAAAGCCCCGGGCGUUAACCUGGGAACGGCAUCUGAUACUGUUGAGCUAGAGUAGGUGAGAGGAAGGUAGAAUUCCAGGUGUAGCGGUGAAAUAGCGUAGAGAUCUGGAGGAAUACCGAUGGCGAAGGCAGCCUUCUGGCAUCAUACUGACACUGAGGCUCGAAAGCGUGGGUAGCAAACAGGAUU
rnacentral:rRNA from 1 species